rnacentral:rRNA from 1 species
ACUCCUGCGGGAGGCAGCAGUGGGGAAUAUUGGACAAUGGGCGCAAGCCUGAUCCAGCCAUGCCGCGUGAGUGAUGAAGGCCCUAGGGUUGUAAAGCUCUUUUGUGCGGGAAGAUAAUGACGGUACCGCAAGAAUAAGCCCCGGCUAACUUCGUGCCAGCAGCCGCGGUAAUACGAAGGGGGCUAGCGUUGCUCGGAAUCACUGGGCGUAAAGGGUGCGUAGGCGGGUCUUUAAGUCAGGGGUGAAAUCCUGGAGCUCAACUCCAGAACUGCCUUUGAUACUGAAGAUCUUGAGUGCGGGAGAGGUGAGUGGAACUGCGAGUGUAGAGGUGAAAUUCGUAGAUAUUCGCAAGAACACCAGUGGCGAAGGCGGCUCACUGGCCCGAUACUGACGCUGAGGCACGAAAGCGUGGGGAGCAAACAGGAUUAGAUACCCUAGUAGUCCC